rnacentral:misc_RNA from 1 species
GAUGAAGAACGCAGCGAAAUGCGAUACGUAAUGUGAAUUGCAGAAUUCAGUGAAUCAUCGAGUCUUUGAACGCACAUUGCGCCCCCUGGUAUUCCGGGGGGCAUGCCUGUCCGAGCGUCAUUGCAAACCCUCAAGCCCGGCUUGUCUGAUGGGUCCCGCGUCCGCCUCUUAGGGGGCGGACGGGCCCGAAACGCAGUGGCGGCGUCGCGGUAAUCCGAUCAGCCAGAGCGUAUGGGGACAUCUCGUCACACGCUUUAGGCGCGGACCGGCGCCCGCCGAGACCAAAUCUCACACCCAAGGUUUGACCUCGGAUCAGGUAGGGAUACCCGCUGAACUUAAGCAUAUCAAUAAGCGGAGGA